AAGGGUAGUUCCCCUGCACUCCUGUUAAGAAGGACAUGUUUGCUUCCCUUUCCACCAUAUUGAGAGAAGACUGUUCUCUGGUCAAGUUUGUGCUUCUGGGAACAUCUCAUCAAACGUCCUGCCAGCGGGCUUAGUACUGGAAUUUGAAUAUGGGCUUCUCUUUUCAUCAACCAGCUGUGUUGCUGUCAGCUUUUAUCUCGGGCUGGACACUUUGGAGUGUUUAACUGAAAGUGAUGAAAGGCACCAGGGGAGCCAGAAGAGCAGAAGAGGUGACAGCUGACCAGAAAGAGACUGGCUCUGCAGCCUGGGCAACCUGUCAUGGAAAGGUACUGCAGCUGCAGGCCUCAGAGCUGUCCAGAAUUACUCUCAUGAACAUGUUUGGGAAAGAAGUUAUGAAGUAGAGGCAAGAGUGUGUUACAGAACUGCUUAAUCCCAUUGCCUGAGCCUUCCAGCCUGGAGAUUAUCCAUCAUGUGACUAAGAAUGAGAUGACACCUGUACAGAUACACGAUUUGCCUCUCAGCUGUUUAGCUGUUUCUAUAAGAAGCCUGAGCCGUUAAGGUACUCUCAGGGCAGGAAUGACCUAGAAGAGAUGGAAUAUAAGCUCAAGACAAUAAGAUGGGGGCCUGGUCAAACACCCUUCCUUAUGUGAACUAGGAAUCUUGGUUAUAGCCCAUGUUUUUCCUUCUUCUCCAAACCCAGGUGAUGAUUUUGGUUUAAGAGCCUCAUCUAUGAGAAAUUCCAUAUCAAAAUUAUUGCAGGGAGAAUAGACCUCUUCCAUUAUCUAGAACAAAAGUUAGUAUUUUCCCCUAUGUCUUCUCUUUUCUUUCUUCUGUACUUCCUAUUACUUUUGGUGCUGUAGAAAAAUUUCUCUGUCCAAAAAGACGUGAAAUAUUUCAGACAUAUUUUACCAAGGGUGUGUGUAGCACACAUCAACUUGCUUGAGCUUCUCUGAUAUAUAGCCAAUGUUUUAAUGUUCCCAUUUAGCCAAUCCAUAAUACAUCUUCACAGUGUUGGCCUAAUCACAAAUGACAAGGGUGGAAAAUGUAAUAAAGACAGGGGCACAUUAAUCUACUUUGUAUGAAAAUGUGGAAAGGUAAUCCAAUUUUGAACUGCUUGCUCUUACAAAAUAUACAUAAGUUUGUAUGAUUUCUGCAUCUUAGUUGGGGAGAUGGUAGUCAAUCCUAAAGAGUUAUAUUUCAGGUAAAGAGUCCUCAGUCCCUUACAUGUAUGCACAGAGGUAGUGGCCCAUACUGAGAAAUAAAGAUGGGGACUCUGGGGAAUGAGUUGCCUGAUGGUCUAUUGGAAGCCUCUAUAUCUGGCAAUAUUCAGGGGUGUUCAUUCCUGUAGGUCUUAGAGAGAGAUUCCAAUAUUAGGGAUGCUGUUGUGUCUUCCCCUGCAUAGCCCCUAAGGCUAGUUCAUAUGAAAAGUAAAUCUGACUCUGCUCCCUAAAAACAAAGAUGAAAAAUCCAUAGAAGGGAGGUAGAUUCAGCUAGAAAGUGUAUUUCUAGCAGGGGAGUUGGUGUGAGGGAGAGAAUAGUUAUGAUGAAGUCAGGCUUGUCUUAAACCACAUCUGAUGUCAUUCCAAUCACUGUGUGUGUCUGCACUUGUGGGUUGUCUGCAUGGCAUGCAUGAAUGUUGAUGCAUCUGCAGUGCUCUCACCCAGCAGAGAAGCAUAGAGAAAUGUGAGCUCUGGACUUAAAGAGCGCUGAGUGUUAAUCUCACUUUCUAUUUGCUCUGCGACAUGACUAGCAGUCCAACUCCUCUGAAUCCCAGUUUCUUUUUCAGUGAAACAGAGAUUGUACUAGUUAUCUCUUAGGAUUAGUAGAAAUACAGGACCCAGAAAUUCUAUUCUUAGAUAUCUACCCAAGAUAAAUACAAACAAAACAUAGGCAAAUGUGUACAAAAACUUGUACAUGGAUGUUCAUAGCAACAUUAUUCACUAUAGAUAAAAGGUGGAAACAACCCAAAUGUCUAUCAACUGACAAAUGCAUAAACAAAAUGUGGCUUAUUAUUGAAAUAAACAAUGGAAAAUUAUUCAGCCAUUAAAA
ensembl:lncRNA LINC01822 long intergenic non-protein coding RNA 1822